AGAAGAUUCUGUCCACAUUUAGUGGCCCCACUGCUGUGGACAAGCAAGCACCUUGUGGUGGUGUGCAUGUUGGAGUGAAGGCCACCAAAGAGAAGGAAAGGAAAGAAGUGGCUGUAGUCUCCUCAUUGCCUUGACUGGCCUGUCUUUAAUAACCUAAGGGGCUGCUAGUAAGUCCCACUUGUUGAAGUUUCUACCACCUCCUCGAAGUACCACGCUGGAGACAAAGAUGAUACAGGGUUACAGGAACAGUCCAUGGAUGAAGUCAGAUGAACCUGUACUAGGAUAUGCAAGCUGCGAUAACGUAAAUGAGAAAAAGGUGGUUCUGGAAUACAUCUGUUUCUAAUGUUUGUCAGUUUUGUUUUGUUUGUUUGUUUUUUUAAUGUGGUACAUUGCAAACUAAUGAAAAAAUUGCUUCUACUUGGGGAGGGAGAAUCAAUGAGGGAUGUUUAUUACCAUGACACAGGCUAAGGAACUCAUUAGAGCAAGCUAUUGCUCACACGCUAUUCUUCUGAGAUGCAUUGCCUCCUUCUGCAUCCAUUCUUGUUUCUGCAGAAACUGAUUUGUACUUGCAAAAUAAUAAAUAUUCAUUUCCCAUGGA